rnacentral:rRNA from 1 species
GAUGAACGCUGGCGGCGUGCCUAAUACAUGCAAGUCGAGCGAACAGAUGAGGAGCUUGCUCCUCUGACGUUAGCGGCGGACGGGUGAGUAACACGUGGAUAACCUACCUAUAAGACUGGGAUAACUUCGGGAAACCGGAGCUAAUACCGGAUAAUAUAUUGAACCGCAUGGUUCAAUAGUGAAAUACGGUUUUGCUGUCACUUAUAGAUGGAUCCGCGCCGCAUUAGCUAGUUGGUAAGGUAACGGCUUACCAAGGCAACGAUGCGUAGCCGACCUGAGAGGGUGAUCGGCCACACUGGAACUGAGACACGGUCCAGACUCCUACGGGAGGCAGCAGUAGGGAAUCUUACGCAAUGGGCGAAAGCCUGACGGAGCAACGCCGAGUGAGUGAUGAAGGUCUUCGGAUCGUAAAACUCUGUUAUUAGGGAAGAACAAAUGUGUAAGUAACUAUGCACGUCUUGACGGUACCUAAUCAGAAAGCCACGGCUAACUACGUG